CAGCGAUCCCUUUUUAAAAUACCAUAUUUAUUGUAAAUACUUCCUCCAUUUACUUAUACAAGGAUAUUAUUAAAUAUACAUUUUGCAUCAAUACAAGGCUACCAACAGUAACUAGUAACUGAGAUAAAAAAUAAUAAUGACAUUUUCUCGCACUAGCAAUCUAUUUAAUACUUGCAUGUGUGCAGUCAUAAUGACAUCUAGCUACUUCCUCGUUCAACAUCCAAUUAGUUUCCUAUCCCUGCCGUCCAUAACGAAAAAAAAGCGAGCUUAAAAAGUAUAAAUUAAACUUGGUAGUUG
rnacentral:lncRNA from 1 species